CAAGAGGUUUUUUUUUAUAACUUUAUCUUCCCCAAAGUUGGUCCCAUAAAAUACCAGAGCAACAGUUGGCAAAUAUUUGUCGUCUUGUCUGAUGUGAUGAAUGGUGAGUUCAGGCAUCCAACAAAUAUUACUCUAAUCCACCACUUAGAUGACCAUGAUUGCCCAAGUCCUCUUCUCUGUUUUUGGGUAGAGAAAAUGGAAGGGGAAGAGCAAGAUGAGUCUCUGUGUUCACCACUGGCUCAAUAUUCUACAAAAGAUUAUAAGACUACAAAGAGAAGGUUGAUUCUUGAGGAACUGAAGAAGCAGCUAUGGCUAGCAGCGCCUCUAUUAUCUGUUCAUGUGUUACAGGGUUUAGCACAAGUGGUAUCUACAAUGUUUGUGGGUCAUCUUGGUAAGUUAAGUCUCUCUAGUGCAUCCAUGGCCACUUCUUUUGUGAGCAUCACCGGUCAAACCCUGCUGAGAGGGUUGUCAAGUGCAUUAGAUACCUUUUGUGGGCAGUCUUAUGGAGCAAGAAGGUAUCACAUGAUGAGCAUUCACUUGCAGAGAGGCAUGAUUGUUCUUUUGCUUGUAACCAUACCCCUAGCUAUCAUCGGUGCAAAUACAGAACCCAUUCUGAUUGCUCUAGGACAAGAUGAAAACAUAUCAAAAGAAGCAGGAACAUACGCUCAACUUUUGAUCCCCGGCCUUUUUGCAUAUGCGCUUGUUCAGUGUUUGAUUAGAUUCUUGCAAAUGCAAAACAUCGUCUUUCCAGUGGUGGUCAUUUUUGGGAUUACAUGUUUGCUUAACAUAGUUAUGUGUUGGAUUCUGGUGUUCAAAACUGGCCUCGGAAGUAGAGGAGGUGCCAUUGCCAUUUCUAUCUCUAAUUGGAUCAAUGUGUUGUCGUUGGCACUUUAUGUCAAGUUCUCCCCUUCAUGCGCAGAAGCUUGGACUGGUUUUUCAAAGGAGGGUCUGUAUAACAUCCUCAGCUUUCUAAGGCUUGCUAUUCCUUCUGCAUUUAUGGAGUGCUUGGAAAAUUGGUCUUUCGAAUUGGUAGUUCUUGUAUGUGGUCUUCUUCCUAAUCCACAGUUAGAGACCUCAGUGCUUUCUAUAUGUCUUAACACAGAACGAAUGUUUUUCAUGGUUGCACUUGGCCUCGGUGGUUCUGUGAGCAUUCGGGUUUCAAAUGAAUUGGGAGCAGGUCGUCCUGAAGCAGCACGUUUAGCAGUAUAUGUUUCCCUAGCCACAGCCAUUUCUGUGGGUACUUUGUUGGGGGCAGUCUUCACAUUGAUGCACAACAUCUGGGGCUAUGCAUAUAGCUAUGAAACUGAAGUGGUUAAAUAUGUAGCAGCAAUGGUUCCAUUUGUUGCCGUAAUUAUCCUUUUGGAUGGUCUGCAAAGUAUUCUUUCAGGUAUUGUGAGAGGUUGUGGUCGGCAGAAGAUUGGUGCAUAUGUCAAUCUUGGAUCUUAUUAUUUAGUAGGAAUUCCAUUCGGGAUCUUGUUAGCUUUUGUGUUUGACAUUCGUGGAGAGUUACCAUUCGCACAAACUGGGAUCAAGAAGCCAAUAAAGCUACAGACAGAGUCCAUGACUAUAUUCCUGUGGAGAGGGUGUCAUGAAGCCACAAUUUGGCAGACUUUUAGUAGGUACUCUGUAGUUUCUCCUCGUAACGGGGCGUGUUGGAUUACUGGGGAUGGUUUCCAUAGAGAAGUAUCAGAAGUAAAUAAUACUUGUAGGCAACUACUCGACAAUGUAGCUGGUUUAUUUGAAUAUAUCAUGUAACGUUGGUGAAACUGAAAAUUUAUUAACCAGUUCAGGUUGAUCUUAAACACCAUGUGCCCGCUACAAUGCCUAUUAUCUACUCUUAGACGAGUAAAGUCCAACUGUUUAAGUUGCCUUACUAAGCAGUAAGCAGAAAAUAGUUAGUUGUAUGCAGUCUUCGAACUUGAUCCCAUAAUGUGGAGCUUGCACCUUUCAGUCAUCAGCAUAGCUUGAUCCUUUCUAACGAGAAGAAAGUGGUAAGAACAAACAUAACUUCUUUGUCUUGUGAAAAUCAACUAGAGAUUGCAGCAAUAUAUUGCAAUUGUCGCAGAGAGCCAAUAAUAGCGCUAGCCUAUGGUUGCCUGCAACACAGGUUUGUCUUCCACAAAUGGUCCACCGAAUUACCCUGUCAGUUGCAGCAUCCUGUUCACCCAGAGCACUCCCUCACUCUCUCCACGCAAGAUGCAAUGUCUGCAGUGAUCUUUGUCGAGGCCCUAAGUGACAUGUUCCUCCAGGCUAUAGUGCAGAUUCGGAUGAGGAAUUCUACUAUGACGUUUACGAGGAACUAAGAGA